rnacentral:rRNA from 1 species
CCCUACGGGGCGCAGCAGUGAGGAAUAUUGGUCAAUGGGCGAGAGCCUGAACCAGCCAAGUCGCGUGAGGGAAGACGGUCCUAUGGAUUGUAAACCUCUUUUGCCGGGGAGCAAAAAGCGGGACGUGUCCCGGCCCGGAGAGUACCCGGAGAAAAAGCAUCGGCUAACUCCGUGCCAGCAGCCGCGGUAAUACGGAGGAUGCGAGCGUUAUCCGGAUUUAUUGGGUUUAAAGGGUGCGUAGGCGGGCUUUUAAGUCAGCAGUAAAAAUUCGGGGCUCAACCCCGUCCGGCCGUUGAAACUGGGGG